AAUCAACGCUGGCGGCGUGCCUCAGACAUGCAAGUCGAACGCGAAAGUUCCCUUCGGGGAGCGAGUAGAGUGGCGCACGGGUGAGCAACACGUAGGUAAUUUGCCUUUGGGUGGGGAAUAACUCAGGGAAACUUGAGCUAAUACCGCAUAAUGCAGCGGCUCGACAUCGAGACAGUUGUUAAAGCGGGGGAGUUGGAGCAAUCCGACCUCGCGCCUAAAGAGAAGCCUGCGGCAGAUUAGCUAGUUGGUAAGGUAAUGGCUUACCAAGGCGACGAUCUGUAACCGGCCUGAGAGGGCGGGUCGGUCACACUGACACUGACAUACGGGUCAGACUCCUACGGGAGGCAGCAGUCGGG
rnacentral:rRNA from 1 species